AACGAACGCUGGCGGCAUGCCUAACACAUGCAAGUCGAACGAGACCUUCGGGUCUAGUGGCGCACGGGUGCGUAACGCGUGGGAACCUGCCCUUAGGUUCGGAAUAACUCCCCGAAAGGGGUGCUAAUACCGGAUAAUGUCUUCGGGCCAAAGAUUUAUCGCCUUUGGAUGGGCCCGCGUUGGAUUAGCUAGUUGGUAGGGUAAAAGCCUACCAAGGCGACGAUCCAUAGCUGGUCUGAGAGGAUGAUCAGCCACACUGGGACUGAGGCCCGGCCCAGAAUCCUACGGGAGGCAGCAGUGGGGAAUAUUGGACGAUGGGCGAAAGCCUGAUCCCGCCAUGCCGCGUGAGUGGUGAAGGCCUUAGGGUUGUAAAGCUCUUUUACCCGGGGUGAUAAUGACCGUACCGGGAGAAUAAGCUCCGGCUAACUCCGUG
rnacentral:rRNA from 1 species